AGUCGAGGGGUAUAGAUCUUCGGAAUUAGAGACCGGCGCACGGGUGCGUAACGCGUAUGCAAUCUACCUUUCACAGAGGGAUAGCCCAGAGAAAUUUGGAUUAAUACCUCAUAGUAUAUAACGGCCGCAUGGUUGAUCUAUUAAAGUCACAACGGUGAAAGAUGAGCAUGCGUCCCAUUAGCUAGUUGGUAAGGUAACGGCUUACCAAGGCUACGAUGGGUAGGGGUCCUGAGAGGGAGAUCCCCCACACUGGUACUGAGACACGGACCAGACUCCUACGGGAGGCAGCAGUGAGGAAUAUUGGACAAUGGGCGCAAGCCUGAUCCAGCCAUGCCGCGUGCAGGAUGACGGUCCUAUGGAUUGUAAACUGCUUUUGCACAGGAAGAAACAACAUUACGUGUAAUGUCUUGACGGUACUGUGAGAAUAAGGAUCGGCUAACUCCGUGCCAGCAGCCGCGGUAAUACGGAGGAUCCAAGCGUUAUCCGGAAUCAUUGGGUUUAAAGGGUCCGUAGGCGGUUUAGUAAGUCAGUGGUGAAAGCCCAUCGCUCAACGGUGGAACGGCCAUUGAUACUGCUAGACUUGAAUUAUUAGGAAGUAACUAGAAUAUGUAGUGUAGCGGUGAAAUGCUUAGAGAUUACAUGGAAUACCAAUUGCGAAGGCAGGUUACUACUAAUGGAUUGACGCUGAUGG
rnacentral:rRNA from 1 species